UGGGGAAUAUUGGGCAAUGGGCGCAAGCCUGACCCAGCAACGCCGCGUGAAGGAAGAAGGCUUUCGGGUUGUAAACUUCUUUUCUGAAGGGACGAAGAAAGUGACGGUACCUCAGGAAUAAGCCACGGCUAACUACGUGCC
rnacentral:rRNA from 1 species